GGCGCGGUAGCCAAGUGGUAAGGCAAGGGUCUGCAAAACCCUUAUUCGUCGGUUCGAUCCCGACCCGCGCCUCCA
rnacentral:tRNA from 1 species